AAAAUAUCUUAUAAUUCUAAUAACACUUACUAUGCAAGUAUCACCCUCACCGCGGGCCCGGAAUAUUGAGUAAGAGAUCAGAUUGCUGAUAAAGAUCGGUCUGAACACUUCAAAAUCUGAUAAGAACAUUUGGUAUUCACUGUGGGAUCGAGAUAAAUUUUCUUCGACACAACCAACAUAAUCGAUUAACUAACUUAACAGUGUCAUCAGCAAGAAAUCAAGGGGGAGUAUUUUAUCUACCUUCAAAGUAGUUGUUCGCAAUACAUUCUUUUAUUAAAUUUUAUCUUGGCAUCAAUUUUCGACCUUAAUAUUUUCGUUCAAAUUCAUAGUUUACAAGCAGGAACCUUAAUUCAGACUUGCAUAGUAGAGAUGCUAAUCACGCCUGAGACCAAAAUGGGCAAGCAUCCUGUGCAACACUAUCAAGAAUUCGGCCUAUAUAUUGAAGCGAAUGAUGUCGCUGCACCACCAAAAUGCAAAGGAACCCAUAAUGACCCUAUCAAGGCAGAAGUUAAAUAUGCGGAACGAUGGCAUGACGAGUUUGGUGGAAGCAUGUAUUGGGUGGAACCGAAGUGGCGUAGAUAUAGGUUUAAACUGAUUCGCGUCUUCUCACAAUACCUCUAGGUAAACUCCAAAGGGCCGAGAGACUAGAGAUCUAGAUGAUCUUUACAUAAAUUAAAACAGACACAACAACAGCAUUCGGGCACUGAAAGAAUGACUCCCACUAUCCAGCUGGUUAGUGCCAACGAUUGUAGUUUAUGACAAACACUUAGGAAAGCCUUAAGCAACAUAUCCUAUAUAUCUGGAGACGCAAGCAACACAGGGAAAAUGGGCUUUCAUUUUAUACACAAAUUGAUGAUUCUUUAUUGAUUCUCCUAUGACAUUCAAUUGAUGGACGAAAGGAUGCUUGCUUGAAGGAGGGUGAUUGAGUCUUUUACUGCUUGUUCAGUUUGUAUUUUUGUUAAUGUGAUCAAUUAACUUUGGCACAACAUGCUUGUUGUCUGGGGUGCGACCGUGAGUGUGACAUGAAAGGUACAAGAUUAAAAGGUACACUGCUAUUUUCUUACAACAAUGUGAUUGAGUGACACCAUUGUGGAAUUUCCUAAAGAUCUGGUCUUCUAUCUUGACAAUAAAGUUCCACAAGGUUUUAUGUAUUCCUAA